rnacentral:rRNA from 1 species
GAUGAACGCUGGCUACAGGCCUAACACAUGCAAGUCGAGGGACCGGCGCACGGGUGAGUAACACGUAUCCACCCUGCCCUUUACUCGGGGAUAGCCUUUCGAAAGCAAGAUUAAUACCCGAUAAUAAGGAGGGGGAUGCGUUACUUUAGGUUGUUGGUGAGGUAACGGCUCACCAAGGCUUCGAGGGAUAGGGGUGCGGAGAGGAAGGCCCCCCACAAUUGAACUGAGACCCGGUCCAAAAUGGUACGUGAGGCAGCAGAUAGGAAUAUAGUUCAAGGAGCGCUAGCCUGAACCUGCCAAGUAGCUUGAAGGGUGAUGGGUUAUGGGUCGUAAACUUCUUGUAUAUAAGAAGCUGUAUUAUAUGAAUAAGCACCGGCUAACUCCGUGCCAGCCGCCGCGGUAAUAC